AGGGCCAUUAAGAGCAGCACGGCCCUGCUGAGAUUUGCAGUCACCCUCCCCGAGUUUGACAUCUCAGCAGAGUUCCCUAGGCUGGGUCAGCACGUGGCCCAGCUGGCUCUGUUUGUGAGUUACCCAGACCAGGACAUCAGCCGGCAGGCCAGGGAGGGGACUUACCGGCUGUACCAGCUGCUGCUCGAACAGAGGGGUAAGGAACCCACUGGGACACGGAACCCAUCAGGGGACUGAAAGGGACCACAGGGCUGAGCAUACACGAGGUGGAGGAUCUGUGGUGCCACAACUGGUACCAGGACAGCAGGC